AAGUCAACACCCAGCAGAGCUGCCCCCGCCUCGGAAGCCGCUAAACCAGUGCCUAUUCCCAGAUCAGUUCCCCUCCCUGUGGACCCCAGACUGAUGCAGGGUCAGCAAGAGGGAGUGCAUCUCACCGCUGAUGACUUCACCAAGGCUCAGAAGCUGUGUAAAUACGCUGGCAGCGCUCUUCAGUACGAGGACGUGAGCACAGCCGUGACUAACCUGCAACAAGCUCUGCGCCUUCUCACCACCGGACACGAGUGAAGCCUUCCUCCUCCUCCUCUUCCUCAUCCUAAAUCAUAACUACAGUUUGAAGAGCAAAGCUUCAUUAACAUAACAUUUUUGCUGAUAUCAACAUGCAUGAGUGUGUUUCUAUAAACCAUAUCAGCAACAACAAGGUUUAAUGUCAUUUAUUCAAAAAAGAAAAUUAAAACAUUGAGACAUAGCAACAGAAAUGUUUCAUCAAAUGACAUCAAACAAAUUAAAACGAGCUCGAUUAGAAUAAGUAGAAAAAGUGUUUAAAACACGUUGACACUCCGAACAAACCCUCCUCUGACUCUGAUCACCUUUGAUUAACAUUUACCAAACUUUAUUUUGAUUGUUCAGCCUUUUUACGGCGGAGGAUCAGGGCCACGUGAAAAUACAUUUGAUUUCUAACCCAAACAUUUUUUAAUUCUAAAAUUAAAGUAAACAUUUUCAGAUUAAAGUUUGAAUUCUGACAUUAAAAAAAUCUAAAUUUGGAGAAACGUCAGAAUCUUGAGAAAAGUCAGGAUUUUGAAUUUCCACAGAAAUCCCCCCAAAAAAAUCCCUUUUGUCCAGAUCUCAAAAACCUUUUCUCAUGUCGACCUAACCCUCUUCUGUAUUUAUUCUGUUGACCUGAUUCUGUCAAAGGAUCCUUCGCUGAUCAGCUGCUCCGCUUUAAAACUCACUGUGACUCCGAAAAAACUGACAGGCGAUGAAAGAAAAAAGUAAACUGUAAAAAGUUAAAAAAGUUUACAAACCGUAAAUAUUCAGAUUUUAAAAUGUCUUCUCUUAUCUAUAAAACGUCUCUCCUCCUAUUGGCUAGCCCACAACCUUCUGUAAGUGAUUGAUGGUUUAGGGGCGGGACAUCUCUAACCAAUCACAACAGCAGUCUCUAACCCCAUGUUCUCCCAGAUAAAGUGCUCCUGAAAACACACAAAUGAGACGUGAAUGAAUCUGCUGCUGGAGACCUCCUCUCACUGCUUUCUGUUUUGCUCUGAAGUAUUUUAUUUUGACGUGUUUCCAUCCGUCUCUGUGUGUACCAUGAUCUUUUCUUUGUUCUUCUGGACUUUAAACUCAGAUCUGCCAGAACCUCCGUUGAUUUAUUUGAAUAAAAUUGUUUGAGAUGUUCA